AAGUCGUAACAAGGUUUCCGUAGGUGAACCUGCGGAAGGAUCAUUAAAAAUUGUCUAAAUCAUAUGGACGAUUCAAUCCAUAUCCACCUUGUGUGCACAGUAAACGUUUGCUUUGGUAGGACUUGGGGUGCCGAAAGGAACAAACACUCCAACUCGGGUGACUGAGCGUGCCUGCCAGAGUUUUUAUGUCUCAAACAACGCUUAUAAUUUUUGACUGAAAAUUCGAUUUUAAUAUCAAAAUAAAAAUACAACUUUCAACAACGGAUCUCUUGGCUCUC
rnacentral:misc_RNA from 1 species